UUUUCCCUUUUCAAAAGUCACCUUGCCAGUCAACCACAUAGGCCAAAGCUAAUGUAGAAGAAACUGAUGGCUAUGGAACAUCCCUAAUUGUAGAGUAGCACACAUGUCUUUGAAGAAUAGGCCCUGUUCUUCUUUCCCUGGGAAUGACCACAUAACCUGCAAUUACCCUCGCCUUCCAACGUCAGAGGAAACGCCACACCUCUUCACAUAACAAUAAUAACUGAGUCUGACCAUGCAGGAGGCUCCUGAGUGCCAUGGUCUGCGUUGACUGGUUCUGCAGUGUAGAGGAAGUGGGCAGUGUGCUCCAUCACUGUCCUAUAGUUUUUGUGGUGGCCAGAUGAGGUCACAAGGUGUCAUUCUCACCUUCGUCCUGCCACUUAUCAGAAAUCUAACAAAUAGAUUGGAACUCCGGAGUCUCUAUCAGCAUGGCUUCCAUUUGGGUUGUGAGGUGAGACUCAGGCUUUGGUCCACGGGAUUAUUGCCCCAAAUCUUUUACCCUGUUCUACCUCCUCACCCUUGACAUGGCCUCUUUGUGGGUAGUUCCCCACCCCUUGACUUUGACAAAUGAUGCAUGGGCAGAAGUGAGGAUGUGUCACCUCUAAGCCUAGGCCUUAAGAGGCCUCAGAUGUUCCUGCUUUUUCUCUGUGCCUCGGAGAGGCACCCCUGGGUAACAGCAUCCCCCUUAGUCUGGUCCUGGGAGUGGAUACAUGUGGAGUAGAUAUGAGCCAAACCUCAAUGAGAGCCAAGACCAGCUACACUCAGUUUGAGGCAGAGCCACUCAGUCAAACCCAGCCUCAUCAGCCAACCCCCUGCUGACCUGUAAACACACAGGCCCGCAGAUCUGUGGAUGCACAAAUGAAAAUGUGUGAUUAUUGCUAAGGUUUGGGGUGGUUUGUUAUAUAGCAUUAUUGCAGCAACAAUUAACUGAUACACUUGUUUUUUAGUAGAUUGCCACAGUAUGUUGACCUUGGACGCUAGCCAUGGCUGGGGCACAGGAAGCACCCCAGCAGAGAAGCCACUCUCUUUUUGACUUCAGGGCCAGGAUCUGCAUGAAGGAAAAAGUGUGUGACUCAAUUAAGAUACAAUUAAGAUCCUCCUCCAUGGUCUCCCUUUUAUCUACUGUCCUCAUUAUGCUGGUUUCUUUUCUUCUUGCUGUGGGAAUGGCACUGCCGUUGCAUGCUGAUGAGCAUGUCUGUGGCCCAACUUCUGAACUAGAGAUUUCUGAGUAAUUAAUUUGGAUUUAAGCUUCUCUAGCCAGCCCUUGACAGACCCAUGAUUGAGUGCAUUGGAAGGCCUUGAUUUCUCCUGAGCAUGUUUUUGGUGCUUAGAGGUCAAGAGUCAUUUGGUACCUGCCUAUCCAAAGUGAGUCUCAAAGUGAGUUUUGAAAAAUAUGCCAUUGUUUCAAGCAACUUGGCCUACUCCUGGGAUCCCAAACCCCUCCCAGUGCUAUGAACUUUUUUGCAUUUCAUCUCUACCAUUUUGCCACAGAGAAAUCUGACCUCAUGAAAGUAUAGAAUACUUGCUGGCCAUAAGGCUUGGCUGGAGCUCAGGCAGAGUACGGGCGUCUUGACACAAGGCCCUUACUAGACUGAAUAAAGUGAUGAGCAGGUAGAAAUAAAAAUGUAAUUCCAAAAGACAAGUGGAGAAUUCUCUCAAGAACUAAUAGCCCCAGUUUUGAACAUUGUUAUUUGUGGAUAUACAAUGUACUUUCUGAUUUUUCCUGUAUUCAAAUCUUUAAGGCCUAGUCUUCCUAGAUGUCAUCAGGUUAAGUAAAACCACUCUUGCUCUGAAAUUCUGCAGUGUUUACCACAAUGGCUUUCAAAUUUUUGCUGUGUUCCAAGAUAAGAAAUGAAUUUUGUGUAUUAGUUCCACAUAUUUUUAUAAAAGUCUAGUUUAAAGUUUUACUCUGUGUUCUCCUAGAGGUAGACGUUGAGAUGAGGGUUUAUAUGCAAGUGGUUUAUUUGGAAGACAAUGCCAGGAAAGACUAGGGAAGAAGAGAAGUGAACCUGGAAAGGAAAGGCAGACAUUAAAAAGCGCAUUAUCAACAGUUGCUUGAUUUCCCUGGGGAACACUGGGAAACACUUUUGUGGGAACCAACCUUCAAGUUGGCCCCAGCAAUCCUCGCCUGCUGUAUUCAUGCCCUUGUUUAAUCCCCUCCCACAACGAACCAUGUGUGUGGCCUGUGUGGCCAAUAGAACAUGCCCUCUGUGGUUAGCAGCCCCUGAGAUGGCCCCAGUUAUCCCUGUCUCCUGGUAGUCAUACCCGUGUAUAAUCCCUUCCCCAAGAGUGUGGGCCAUUUAUAACCAAUAAUAAGCGAGUCACUUCUAGCCGAUAGAAUGUGGUCAAGGUAAUAAAUGUCAGUUGUGAGAUUAGGAUACAGAAAGACCCUGGCUUUCUUCUUGUUUAUGCUCUCUUGGUCUUUUCCUCAUUGGCUCCGAGGAAAAACUAGCCACCAUUCUGUGAAUUGCCGUAUGGAGAGGCCCAUGUGAUGGAGGAAGUGAGGCUGCCAACAGCCCAGGGAGUGAGCCUGGAAGUAGAUCCUCCCUUAGUUGAGCCUUGAGACGCCUGCAGCCUCAGCCAACACCUUGAGAGAGAGCCUGCAGCCUCAAAAGAAACCUUGAGUCAGAGGCACCCAGCCCUGGGGGAAACCAGUCACAGUUCAUGAGGAGACUCAAAAAGUCCUAUGGAGAGGUCCAUGUGGUCAUAAGCCGAGGUCUCCUGCCAAUAGCCAGCACCAACUUGCCAGAUCUGUGAAUGAGCCAUCUUGGAAGCAGAUCAUUCAGUGUGGUCAAGACUUUGGUUGGCUGCAGCCCCAGAAGACAUCUUGACUACAAUCUCAUGAACAAUCUGGAGCCAGAACCACCAAGUUAAGUUGCUCCUUAAUUUCUGACCCAUGGAAACUGUGAAAUAGUGAAGUUAUUGUUAUAUUAAGCCACCAUGUUUUGGGGGUAAAUUGUUUUGCACCAGUAAAUAGUGAAUGUAGUGUAGAACAAGAGACUCAGAGUUAUCCUACCUAAGUAAAGGAGCUGGGGUAUUUAUACACCAAUAUCCAUCUAUCAAUGGAUGAGGGCUGUUUCUAGGGUCUCUUAAUUCUCCAGCAGUUCCCUGUGGGCACAGAGGGCUUCAGUGGUCAGAAGAAGCCUGCAGGCAAAGAGAUGCAGAUGUCGGCAGUUGGAAGUCAGGCCUGGGUGUACUGAAAAGUAAAGGUGAGGGGAUACGGGAUGGGGUGCUCACGGGACUUGCUAACUUGCAAACUCGAUUGCAAUUUCAUCUACAUUACUUCCCUCCUCCCAGGCAAGCUUGGAGUACCUACUCCUUCUUUAGGGUUUGAUCCCUCCAGGGUGGUAUUCUGGUAGAAG